UAUACCUAGAAACUCCUAAGGAAUUUUGAAGAAAACCAAAGUUAUUUUGAUGGAAAAAGAUAAGGUUUUGAAAUCCAGAUUUAAGAUGUAUAAGAUCACAGAAUAAAGGAAAAGAAACAUUAACAGGAGUAUGAUAUGUGGCAAGGUGGCAAUUCUGUGGAUGGAGCUUGGAGGUGUGAUUGAGACUGCAUUACUAAAGAUGUUGGUGCUAUCGUUAUUCCCUCUGAAUUUCUCUUCCUGCUCUUUUUGUGUUUUCUUUCUCUGCCCCAUAUUGGUCUAUGGGUUGUGCUUGAUAUUCAUUUACCCUUUCCAUAUCCUGGGUGGCUGAUUUUCCUUGAACAUAGUAAACAUUAUCCCAUGAUUAGACUGAACCAGCUCUUUUCGUUGUCUUGGAAUAGUCGAAUCCAUUGAGAACAAUCCAGUCCCCACCUUGAAAUGAUGGUCAACACUCAAAGUGAAUUCCAGGAUUUUCCAGGUAUGACAGUCCUUGCUCUUCUAUUUGGAUCACAUUAUGAAGAUCACCUCCAACAAAGUUUGUUCUUAUUUUGAGGCAAAAGUAUCAGCAGCUUCAUCGUUCCCUCUAUCGGACUCACCAACCUAUCUGAUAUCAGCAUCUGAGCCAUCUGUAUUGUCACCUUCAUGCUCGGAACCAUCAUCAUCAUCUUCUGGACUCCUGUGAUCGUUGCAAGGGUGACCACAAGCCAAAUCCUCUGACCAAGAACAUAUGCGGCUGCUGGUCAAUCAGUGGGAGGAGAUUCCCGACACUUAUCCAAUGCAUGUCGAAGAGAAAGGGAUACAUCAGCAGGCAGUAAAUCCAGCUGUUGAAGUCCAAAUUCUUCCCCAACCAUUGCCAAGGCUGUCAACUCCUCAGAACUGGAAGAUGCUCCUGUAGCAAGGUUACCAUAAACACCAGAUGAAAGUUUUCUCCCCACUGGUUUCGCACCAGAUAACAGACUUUGGAAGGAAACUAUUUUCCGGGCCCAGAUAACUGAAUGGCCAUCUUUACGAAUCAGAGGUGGAGGGUCAUUUAUGUUAGCAGAAUUACAUCCUUAUUGCAAGCAAUGUUCAAGCCAUCUGAAUAGACGAGGAGGAGUUGUCCGGGAAAGACAGUCUUUACACAUCCCCAGUUUCUUAGAAAUACCAGGAAAAUCAUGAACAUAGUGGUCCAAAUAACUUCCCUCUCCUAGAGAAUUAGCAACAUUACAUAAUAGAACCACCAGAAGUUCCAAGUCCUUUUUGCGAAGAUUAUCUAAUUUCAAACUUUCAUAUACCGCAUGGAGGGAAUUCAAAGUCUCUUUCAAAGGCUCAGAAUAGGAUAAUUUUUCUGGGCCUCGUCCACCAUCCGAAUAUGAUUUAGAAGAAUCUGAUUUCUGCAACUCAAGUGACAUUUUGGAAGAGAUCCGAGUGAUCAAAUUAAGUUUAGAGUAGUUCUUGUGAAAUUUGCAGUCGAUAAGAAACUCCUAGGAUGUGUAUGGCACUGUAUCCACGGGCAUUGGAGGAAUCAAUCUGGACUUUUUGCACAUAUGCAUUAUGAUACUAUUAAAAGAUUCCCAUUCUGAAUCAACAUUAGAGUCACUGGCAGUAAUCUUUUGUACUGUUAUCCAACAAGAAUUACAUUUCUUGUGAGACUUUGGGAAGGCGGGUUGGAAGUGGAUCGCCCACAAUAGUUUGGAAUACAUGAUUCUGACCAGAAUAUCUCUACUGAAAGCUGCAAAAUCUGAACCAAGCCAUCUUAAAAACCAAGCAUCUCUUGGUCAUUGAUUUAACCAUGUCUCUUUCUACCUCGGAUCAAGACCUUCUCCUUAUACGGAAAAGGGGGUCCUCAUUAUAAGAUUACAGUAACCAUAUAUCUUUAGCAGGGUCAUUACCAAAAUUAUAGAAACACAUUUUGAUUCACUACCUGAAGAAGUGCCCGGGUCCGAAUCACUUGAUGAAGAGCCUAAGUCACCAUUGGAGGUACUUGAACUACUGCGUCCGUUUACUCUUUAAUCUGGGACUGAGAGAGCCAUCUCAUUCCAGGGAUAAUUGUUCAAUAAACAUGUCAUCCUUAACGAAUUUUGUAUCAAUAUUAAUCUCUUUAAGGCAUUCAUCUUUA